GGCAGGGAUAACUGGCUUGUG
rnacentral:misc_RNA from 1 species